ACUGAUGAUUUCAUACGGCACAUUUUAUCUUAAAAAAUUGAUUGACGUUUUAAAAAACAAAUUAUUCCACAUCACUACCGAAAUGUGUACAUAACAUUUCUCUAUUUCUUUUAACAUCACUUACCUUACUGUUAUAUGUUACUGUUUCUUGUACACUAGUAAUAUCUGAGAUAUACAAAUAUACCAUGUUUACAUUUUUAUACUUAGUUUAGGAAAAAGUUUCGAUUUCGGAAUAAAAUGAAAUUGAAAUAAGUUUAGUGAAGGGUGUGUUGAAUAAUUUUGUAAAUAUGGCAUCACAGUACAAAGUAGGUAAUAAAAGAGGCAACACACCGGAUAUGCUAUUCGUUGCUAGUUGAUCACUCGUUGGUGUUUUAAUUUUUCGUUCCUUUACAUCGAGUUAUGAAAAGAUUUUUUAAACCUCUUUGAGGACGGUCGUGACAUUUUAUAUAUUUUAACUAUUUUAGAAAAAAGUAAAAAUUUGAAAAAUCACAUAAAAGUGAUCAGAAAAUAAACGAGCAAAGUAUUUUGAUUGCAAAUCACUGAAAAAAAAAAUUACUUCAUUACUAAAUUUGUACAGAGAGAUAUAAGACAAAGUAAAGAAAAGCUGAAUCACUAAGACGUACAACAGCGAUAGAUAUCGUUGUAAUCUAAGAAAGAAAGGAAAGUGAGAAGCUAUUUAACGGAGGAAAAAAUAAUAAUAUAAAAAAAUGACAUCGCUGGAACCGAAUGUGAAUCGCCUGCAGAAUUUCAAAAAUAAGGGCAAGGAUCAAGAUGUAA